rnacentral:rRNA from 1 species
AGCGAACGCUGGCGGCGUGCCUAACACAUGCAAGUCGAGCGCGGGCAUUUCGGGGGUAACCCCGGGAUGUGCUGAGCGGCGGACGAGUGAGUAAUACGUGGACAACCUGCCUUAAAGCUUGGGAUAACUCCGGGAAACUGGAGCUAAUACCGGAUAAGACCACGGUGUCUAUGGAUGCUGAGGUAAAAGGCGGCCAGGAAACUGGCUGUUGCUUAAAGAUGGGUCCACGUCCCAUCAGGUAGUUGGUGAGGUAAAGGCUCACCAAGCCAAAGACGGGUAGCUGGCCUUAGCGGGUGGUCAGCCACACGGGGACUGAGACACGGGCCCCGACUCCUACGGGAGGCAGCGAGUGGGGAAUAUUGGGCAAUGGGC